rnacentral:tRNA from 1 species
GGCUUUGUAGCCCAGCUGGUAGAGCGGUUGCCGCGUUGAGGCAUAGUGUUUCUGUCGUUGGUUCGAAUCCAGCCGAAGCCC